AUGCAGCAACGCCGCGUGAGGGAUGACGGCCUUCGGGUUGUAAACCUCUUUUAGCAGGGAAGAAGCGAAAGUGACGGUACCUGCAGAAAAAGCGCCGGCUAACUACGUGCCAGCAGCCGCGGUAAUACGUAGGGCGCAAGCGUUAUCCGGAAUUAUUGGGCGUAAAGAGCUCGUAGGCGGUUUGUCGCGUCUGCUGUGAAAUCCCGAGGCUCAACCUCGGGUCUGCAGUGGGUACGGGCAGACUAGAGUGCGGUAGGGGAGAUUGGAAUUCCUGGUGUAGCGGUGGAAUGCGCAGAUAUCAGGAGGAACACCGAUGGCGAAGGCAGAUCUCUGGGCCGUUACUGACGCUGAGGAGCGAAAGGGUGGGGAGCAAACAGGAUUAGAUACCCUGG
rnacentral:rRNA from 1 species